UACGGAGGUGGCAAGCGUUGUUCGGAAUUAUUGGGCUUAAAGCGCGUGUAGGCGGGACGGAAAGUGUCGGGUGAAAGCCCUCGGCUCAACCGAGGAAUGGCUUGGCAUACUCCCGUUCUUGAGGCGGGCAGAGGUCGCUAGAACGACGGGUGGAGCGGUGAAAUGCGUAGAUAUCCGUUGGAAUGCCGGCGGCGAAAGCGGGCGACUGGGCCCGUCCUGACGCUGAGACGCGAAAGCGUGGGGAGCAAACAGG
rnacentral:rRNA from 1 species